GAUGAAGAACGUAGCGAAAUGCGAUACUUGGUGUGAAUUGCAGAAUCCCGUGAACCAUCGAGUCUUUGAACGCAAGUUGCGCCCGAAGCCACUAGGCCGAGGGCACGCCUGCCUGGGCGUCACACGUCGUUGCCCCCCACCAUCUACUCCUUCGGGAUUGCGGGGGGCGGAUGAUGGCCUCCCGUGCGCCUAGCCGCGCGGUUGGCAUAAAUACCAAGUCCUCGGCGACGCACGCCACGACAAUCGGUGGUUGCGAAACCUCGGUUGCCCGUCGUGUGCGUUCGUCGCGCAUCGAGGGCUCGAAAAAAUACUCGGCUCCGGCUCGGCUUUCAACGCGACCCCAGGUCAGGCGGGGUUACCCGCUGAAUUUAAGCAUAUCAAUAAGCGGAGGA
rnacentral:misc_RNA from 1 species